AACGCGAAGAACCUUACCAGGGUUUGACAUCCUGCGACCGCCUCCGAAAAGAGGUUUCCCCGCAAGGGGCGCAGAGACAGGUGCUGCAUGGCUGUCGUCAGCUCGUGUCGUGAGAUGUUGGGUUAAGUCCCGCAACGAGCGCAACCCUCGCCUUUAGUUGCCAUCAUUCAGUUGGGCACUCUAGAGGGACCGCCGGCGGCAAGCCGGAGGAAGGUGGGGAUGAAGUCAAGUCAUCAUGGCCCUUACACCCUGGGCUACACACGUGCUACAAUGGCGGUGACAGUGGGCAGCCAGCUCGCGAGAGUGAGCUAAUCCCAAAAAACCGUCCCAGUUCAGAUUGCACUCUGCAACUCGAGUGCAUGAAGGUGGAAUCGCUAGUAAUCGCAGAACAGCAGGCUGCGGUGAAUACGUUCCCGGGCCUUGUACACACCGAGUAUA
rnacentral:rRNA from 1 species